ACGCUCGACACCUACGGGAGGAGCAGUGAGGAAUAUUGGUCAAUGGGCGCAGGCCUGAACCAGCCAAGUAGCGUGAAGGAUGACUGCCCUAUGGGUUGUAAACUUCUUUUAUAUGGGAAUAAAGUUUUCCACGUGUGGAAUUUUGUAUGUACCAUAUGAAUAAGGAUCGGCUAACUCCGUGUCAGCAGCCGCGGUAAUCUGAGCGGGCUGGCAAGGC
rnacentral:rRNA from 1 species